GCCGAAAGGCGUGUCCCUCGGGGCACUGCACUGCAACGGCCUGCGGGCUCCCCAUCUGACCCGUCUUGAAACACGGACCAAGGAGUCUGACAUCCGUGCGAGUCCACGGGUUUUGAAACGUGGGAUGCGCAAGCAAGCUGACGAGCGGGAGUCCCUCACGGGCCGCACCGCUGGCCCACCCUGAUGUUCUGUGAAGGGUUCGAGUUGGAGCACGCCUGUCGGG
rnacentral:ncRNA from 1 species